rnacentral:SRP_RNA from 1 species
GGGUUGGUCCAACGCGGCAGAAACUUGCGAACCCCGCCAGGUCCGAGAGGAAGCAACGGUAAGUGAGUCCCUCUGGGUGCCGUUGGUUGCCUGCCCGGC